rnacentral:pre_miRNA from 1 species
CUGGCUAAACAGUCAAACAUGUUAGUCAAACAUUGCGUUUGACGCAAAUGUUUUUACGUUUAGCCA